AUUGAACGCUGGCGGCAUGCCUUACACAUGCAAGUCGAACGGCAGCGGGGGAGAAGCUUGCUUUUCCUGCCGGCGAGUGGCGAACGGGUGAGUAAUACAUCGGAACGUGCCCUGUAGUGGGGGAUAACUAGUCGAAAGAUUAGCUAAUACCGCAUACGACCUGAGGGUGAAAGUGGGGGACCGCAAGGCCUCAUGCUAUAGGAGCGGCCGAUGUCUGAUUAGCUAGUUGGUGGGGUAAAGGCCUACCAAGGCGACGAUCAGUAGCUGGUCUGAGAGGACGAUCAGGCACACGGGGACUGAGACACGGCCCAGACUCCUACGGGAGGCAGCAGUGGGGAAUUUUGGACAAUGGGCGAAAGCCUGAUCCAGCAAUGCCGCGUGUGUGAAGAGGGCCUUCGGGUUGUAAAGCACUUUUGUCCGGAAAGAAAUGGCUCUGGUUAAUACCUGGGGUCGAUGACGGUACCGGAAGAAUAAGGACCGGCUAACUACGUGCCAGCCGCCGCCGUAA
rnacentral:rRNA from 1 species